GCCUGGAUAGCUCAGUUGGGAGAGCAUCAGACUUUUAAUCUGAGGGUCCAGGGUUCAAGCCCCUGUUCAGGUG
rfam:Tinamus guttatus contig56508, whole genome shotgun sequence.